rnacentral:rRNA from 1 species
AAAAGGUGGCUAUGCUACCGCUUUUGGAUGGGCCCGCGGUGCAUUAGCUAGUUGGUGGGGUAAAGGCUUACCAAGGCAAUGAUGCGUAGCCGAACUGAGAGGUUGAUCGGCCACAUUGGGACUGAGACACGGCCCAAACUCCUACGGGAGGCAGCAGUAGGGAAUCUUCCACAAUGGGCGAAAGCCUGAUGGAGCAACGCCGCGUGGGUGAAGAAGGUCUUCGGAUCGUAAAACCCUGUUGUUAGAGAAGAAAGUGCGUGAGAGUAACUGUUCACGUUUCGACGGUAUCUAACCAGAAAGCCACGGCUAACUACGUGCCAGCAGCCGCGGUAAUACGUAGGUGGCAAGCGUUAUCCGGAUUUAUUGGGCGUAAAGGGAACGCAGGCGGUCUUUUAAGUCUGAUGUGAAAGCCUUCGGCUUAACCGGAGUAGUGCAUUGGAAACUGGGAGACUUGAGUGCAGAAGAGGAGAGUGGAACUCCAUGUGUAGCGGUGAAAUGCGUAGAUAUAUGGAAGAACACCAGUGGCGAAAGCGGCUCUCUGGUCUGUAACUGACGCUGAGGUUCGAAAGCGUGGGUAGCAAACAGGAUUAGAUACCCUGGUAGUCCACGCCGU